GUCGUACGAGAGUUUUUAACUCAAGUGGCGGACGGGUGAGUACACGUAAGAAUUUGCCUUUAGAGGGGGACAACAGCUAGAAAUGGUUGCUUACCCCAUAUGCUUUCAGUGAAAUGGAUUUUUCCGCCUAAGAGAAGCUUGCGGCUGAUUAGCUUGUUGGUGAGGUAAUGGCUUACCAAGGCGACGAUCAGUAUCUGGUUUGAGAGGACGAUCAGACACACUGGAACUGAGACACGGUCCAACUCCUACGGGAGGCAGCAGUGGGGAAUUUUCCCAAUGGGCGAAAGCCUGACGGAGCAAUCUCUGAGGGAUGACUGCCUAUGGGUUGUAAACCUCUUUUUUCAGGGAGGAAUCAAUGACGUGUACCUGAAGAAUAAGCAUCGGCUAACUCCGUGCCAGCAGCCCGGUAAGACGGAGGAUGCAAGUGUUAUCCGGAAUCACUGGGCGUAAAGCGUCUGUAGGUGGUUUAAUAAGUCAACUGUUAAAUCUUGAA
rnacentral:rRNA from 1 species